GAAUUAUGUUUGGAGGUCAGAAUAAGUUAUUCAGCUAUAACUUGCUCGAUAUAAAGAUUUUUUUUUUUGGGUGAUUGAAGGUUAGGAGUUUGAAUUUUGCUUUUGAAAAGUUUUCAUGUCUGUGAUUUGAUAAGAUAAUAUAAUUCAUCUGUGAUGUAAUUUAUAUUAUUCCAAAAAAUAAUCUAUAGUCUGAGUACGAUAUUUCAUUCUAAUUAUUUAAUCAAAUUUUUUACCUCCUAAAUACUACAAGUACUUUGAGUAAAUUAUACGGAUUUAUUGAAUAAGAUAUUCAUG
rnacentral:lncRNA from 1 species